rnacentral:rRNA from 1 species
AUGCAAGUCUAGGGGGUGUAGCAAUACAUCACCGGCGGACGGGUGCGUAACACGUGGGAAUAUACCUUUUGGUUCGGAACAACGCAGGGAAACUUGCGCUAAUACCGAAUGUGCCCUUACGGGGAAAGAUUUAUCGCCAAAGGAUUAGCCCGCGUCCGAUUAGCUAGUUGGUGAGGUAACGGCUCACCAAGGCUCCGAUCGGUAGCUGUUCUGAGAGGAAGAUCAGCCACACUGGGACUGAGACACGGCCCAGACUCCUACGGGAGGCAGCAGUUGGGAAUCUUGGACAAUGGGGGAAACCCUGAUCCAGCCAUGCCGCGUGAGUGAUGUAGGCCUUCGGGUUGUAAAACUCUUUCGACGGGGACGAUAAUGACGGUACCCGUAGAAGAAGCUCCGGCUAACUUCGUGCCAGCAGCCGCGGUAAUACGAAGGGGGCUAGCGUUGUUCGGAAUUACUGGGCGUAAAGCGCGCGCAGGCGGUUUUUCAAGUCAGUGGUGAAAGCCCGGAGCUCAACUCCGGAAAUGCCAUUGAAACUGUGAAACUUGAGGAUGAGAGAGGUGAGUGGAAUUCCCAGUGUAGAGGUGAAAUUCGUAGAUAUUGGGAAGAACACCGGUGGCGAAGGCGGCUCACUGGCUCAUUUCUGACGCUCAG